AGAUCAAAUACAAUGCCAAGACACCUGAGGUUUAGCAUUGUUAGACAAGAAUCAUAAAGCCCUGAUGCAACCUUAAAUCCCCAAAAGCAAGGACAUUGUCCGCCAAUAUUCUUAGACUGCAUGGCGACUAAAUGAAGUUCCUCUCUUCCAAGUGACAUCACUGCAGUCUUGUUAUCUCUGAGACAUGUGGAAUGCAAAAGAGUGAGCGGCGAGUCUUGGGUCAGCGGCUUUGAUUUUGUAGGUUCCAAUUUGAAGCUUAAUCCAGUAGUAACUGUGUGUAGCACUGCCAGUGGUGGACAUCUCUCACUUGACGGCGAAUAGUGAGAUAUCCUUAUUAACU
rnacentral:misc_RNA from 1 species